AUUGAACGCUGGCGGCAGGCCUAACACAUGCAAGUCGAGCGGAGCGGCGGACGGGUGAGUAAUGCCUAGGAAUCUGCCUGGCAGUGGGGGAUAACUUCCGGCUACGGGCGCUAAUACCGCCUACUUUCAGAUGAGCCUAGCCCGGAUUAGUUAGUUGGUGGGGUAAAGGCCUACCAAGGCGACGAUCCGUAACUGGUCUGAGAGGAUGAUCAGUCACACUGGAACUGAGACACGGUCCAGACUCCUACGGGAGGCAGCAGUGGGGAAUAUUGGACAAUGGGCGAAAGCCUGAUCCAGCCAUGCCGCGUGUGUGAAGAAGGUCUUCGGAUUGUAAAGCACUUUAAGUUGGGAGGCGUUACCAACAGAAUAAGCACCGGCUAACUUCGUGCCAGCAGCCGCGGUAAUUC
rnacentral:rRNA from 1 species